AAAAUAAUCUAACUGGUCUUUACAGGGUUAAAUAAAAUAUCCAAAAAUGCUGAAAUUUGUAACUAUGUAUUUCCUGAAAUGUCUAAAGAACAAGACGCGAUGACUCUUUUUCACAGUAUUGUUCCAGAAUUAAAUCGUUUGAAGCACGUUUCCCUGCGAAUAUCCAAAUUUCGAAGAAGUCCAUGGCUGUUUGGACCAGGAUACCUAACCUACAAAAAUCAGCGGAAGUCAGUCCAUCUAUCCGCGUCGGAAAACACUGGUACAGAGAAACGAGUGGUCGCAAAUCAAACUGAAUGCCGCGCACAGUGAGCGACCAAUUUUUUAGCUGUAUCCAGGAAAGUAUCUAACUCGGUCGCCU
rnacentral:misc_RNA from 1 species